UAGGUGUGGCACUGCAUGAGUGAGGGUGUAGUUAUGAGCGUUUGAAGGAGUGACAGUGAGUGUGUGUGGUAAU